rnacentral:rRNA from 1 species
GACGAACGCUGGCGGCGUGGAUUAGGCAUGCAAGUCGAACGGUAUCAUCCUUUCGGGGGUGAGAGAGUGGCGAACUGGUGAGUAACACGUAGGUUAUCUACCCUCAAGACGGGGACAACCCAGGGAAACUUGGGCUAAUACCGGAUGUGAGCAACUUUUAGUUGUUUGAAAGGUGGCGUAAGCUGUCGCUUGGGGAUGAGCCUGCGUCCUAUUAGUUAGUUGGUGAGGUAACGGCUCACCUAGGCAAUGAUAGGUAGGCGGCCUUAACGGGUGGUCGCCCACACUGGGAUUGAGAUACGGCCCAGACUCCUACGGGAGGCAGCAGUCGAGAAUAGUCUAACAAUGGUCGGAAGACUGAUAGUGCGACGCCGCGUGAACGAUGAAUCCCUUCGGGGUGUAAAGUUCUUUUAUAUGUGAGCAGUGCUUCUUAUAUUAACAGUAUGGGGAGAGAGAUAUUAGCAUAUGAAUAAGCAACGGCUAACUCCGUGCCAGCAGCCGACGGUAAUA